rnacentral:lncRNA from 1 species
AUGGCGGGCACGGGGCUCCAGACACAUGACCCCAGUCAAGCCAUCCAGCCAGCGCUCAGCCAUUCAGCUGCAAGGCUCCAGAAUUCAUGCAGCAGAAAAGAGCUAUCUUUGCAGUGCCUGGUCCAAAUUUCUGACCUACAGAACUUGAAGGAGGAAACAAUGAGGGAGAACUUGUUCAAGGAUUUCACUCUUGCUCUCAUACGAGGGACAUCACUGGGCAGCAUCGGGUCCCCAGCCGGAAUCCCUAUCAGUCCACAGCCUUCAGAAUCUCCCAAGUCAAGAGGAAUGGGUCAUCAAAGGUGGCCUUUUCCCCACAGCAUGCUCCUGGCAUUUUCUCCAUCCGAAUCAGAAGACCUAGCCAUCAUCUCUCUCGGUAAAUAACAUACAAGAGACUUUGACCAAGGUCAGCUUCCAGAAGAUUGUCAAAUCUUGUUCUUGCCUCCAUUCUACUGGUUACAUGGCAAUACUAACAGAAAACAUGUCAGGCAGAAAAAAGAUAUUUCUUACAAAAUUCUUGGAUAUGGUAGUAAGUUGUUAGCACAAUACUACUACUUACUCCCAUUUGCCCAUAUCUUGAAUCUUCAAGGAAACUGUAAAUUCCUAGAUGACAAGGACUGGGUUAAACUCUCCUAACUGCCCCCAUGCCCACUCCAUGGUUUACAUAGUACCUGGCACAUCCAAGGCACAGGAAAUAACUUCAUCAUUGUAUCACCAGUGAUUUAACUGACUGGGUUUCCAGCUCUGUACUAAAUAUUUAUCCAAAUUUUAUACUUACAGCAACCCUCUGAAUUAGUGACUAUGAUUAUCUCCAUUUUCGAGAGAAAACAAGCUUGGAGAGGUGAAACAACUGACCCAAGAUUGAAGUAAAAAGGUACACCCAGAAUUGAGACUCAAGUAGGACCUUCUGUCUCCAAAGGCCCAACUCUUUCUACUCUGUGACACUCCAUAUUUUAUAAAUGUUACAACAUCAUUGGUGGCUCUAAAAUGUCUCUUUAUUCAAAAAUAAAGCCAGGGACUUCCCUGGUGGUCCAUUGGAACUUCUCAUUCCUAAUUCAGAUGGUCUGGGUUCAGUCCCCGCUCAGGCAACUAGACCCCAUGUCCCCAGCUAAGAGUUCACAUGCCACAUCUAAAGAUCUCUUGUGCUGCAGCUAAGACCUAGCACAGCCAAAUACAUAAAUAAAUAAAAAUAAUUUACAAAUGUUACAAAUUUUAAAAUAAUUUUAAAACGUUACAAUUUUUAAAUAAAUACAAGUAUUAGAAUGAGAAUAGAGAUCUCAGGGCAGAUUGGGCUUUCAUGCAUUUCCUGUCAAUACCUGACUGCCAUGUGGUUGACAGGGAAGUGUGUCCAUGGGAGGGAUUCCCUUUCCCGGAAGGGCUUCCUAGCCAGCUGUGAGGGGGUGAGUCAGGGGGCAGCCUCAGAGGUCACUUCCUUCAGGGUCUGCCUCUGCUGCACAGCCCUGACCCUCACUGGAAAUCCUGUCCUUCCGGGGAUGGCCCACAUCUGAAUGGCAAGGCCUGGCCAUCUGGGCUCAAUGUAGGUUCUCUGGCAGAUGGCCUCUCAUGCCACAGCUCCCCACCUGGUGGCUGAGGCUUUGAGGCACUUGCAUCAAGAUCAACUUCUCCCUCUGCCUGAUCCCACCUCCUCCCUCUUCCUUUAAAACUUGUUGAACCCGAGUGAGCAUUUUCUGGCACAAACCCUAUCUGCCUUCAGAGAUCACAGCCUGUGACUCCUCUUUCCUUUUCUCUCCAAUGCUGUCUGACUGCCCAGGCUUUUGUUAAAGAGAGAUCCUGAGAAUCUUUCUCUUCUUCUGGUGGUUUAAGUGACCAUCACUGUGUGGCUAGUGCUGUUUGCCUCCAACUUCCAUUUUCCUGGAAAGUUGCUUAGAACCCUCUUUGGAGCACCGGAGUUUGGGCUUGGAUUUAUACCUGCCCACAGAGUUCUGAUACACUGCUGGUACAGUCUAGAACAGUUACAUUUUAGGGAUAGAGGGAUAACUUGCAGAUGGUUCAGAAAUACCAAGCUGAGUUUCUAAUGAUGAGACAGUUGUACCUGCACUCUCCUUCCGUGAAACUGUACCCAGUUGGUGUGAUUUUUACCUGCCACAGGAUGGACUUGCACCUAGCACAUAGCUUGGGUGUGCUGGUACCCAUCACCCUGUGGGUAUAACUACCUGCCAGUCUGUGGCUAUGUUCUCUAAGGGAUGCACUGGACUCAGUUUCCCAGUCCUGCAAUUCUUUUUUUUUAAUGAAUGUGUACAUUCAGUGUCUUUGGGCUUCCCAGGUGGCACUAGUGGUAAAGAGCCCACCAAGGCAGGAGACUUAGAAGAUGCGGGUUCUAUCCCUGGGUCAGGAAGAUCCUUUGGAGGAGGGCAUGGCAACCCACUCCAGUAGUCUUGCCUGGAGAAUCUCAGGGACAGAAGAGCCUGGCAGGCUAUGGUCCAUAGAGUCGCAAAGAGUCAGACACGACUGAAACGACUUAGCAUACACGCAUGUACAUAUCUUUAUAUGUAGGGGAUUUUAUUUGUUUUUUAUUACUUAUUUAUCAUUGGCCACACCACGUGGCAUGUGGGAUCUUAGCUCCCCGACCAGACCAAGGAUCAAUCCCACAUUCCCUGCAUUGGAAACUUGCUGUCUUAACCAUUGGACCACCAGGGGAGUCCUACCCCUGAAAUACUUUAUUCUGCUGCAUUCCACUUCUGCCAAUGCAGCCUCCAGUGCUAUUUUCCUUUCCAUGUUCUCACCCUCCUCUCCUACUCCCAGGGUCUAGCCUGACUGCUCCCUAUUACUUUCUUCUCCGUAUUCAUUCCACUCUAUUACAUAAAGCCUACCUUCUGUGUACCUUACCCAGACUGAAAAGUCAAGAUUUACUGUGUCUUCUUCUCGAGAGAGCCUCUCAGAUCAACGAAAGGAGAUCUGCCUCCCUGCCACUCAGCCAGCAAAAGAGGAGCCCCUUUGUGGUCCCCACUUACUACAAGGAAAGAAGUAACAGCAUCAUUUUUCUUCUCUGUAGGCAAGCACUAGAAGCAUUGUUAAGGCAGUGACCAAAUGAGGAGCGGUAAUUAAUAGAUGGUGCUUUACAUAAGUUGUCAUUUCAUACUUGUAACUGUCUUAAAAGUUAGAGAUUGUUACCCUUCAUUUAGAGAUAAUGAAAAGGGCUGAGAAAGAGUAAUUUACCUGCCCAGGUAGUAGAUAGCAGUAGAGGGAUUUGAACACAGGUCUUUCUGUUGCAAAAGCCUGGGCACUUUGCACUGACAGAUGCUGACAUAGUUGAAAGGCUCACAUACCAGCCUUGCCCCGGUUAGCAUGGGCCACAGGAUUCUGGAAGAAUUCACGACCAGUAAGUGUGUGAUGCUGUGGCUUUGGUGUUAAUAGAGAGGAUGUCUCUGAGAGACAGAUCAAAGCAUGCAGUCAAGAGGGCUACGGCACUGGGGCCAAAGGCAGAGGAGUCUGCAGAGGCCACUUCUCUACAGCCACAGUCCUACCCUGCUCCUCUUUGCUCUUCCUGCUGGAAUACUGAGCUCAACUGUCUGUUGUCAGCUCAGCGACCACUGUCACUCCUGACCAAGGCCAGUAACUAGGUUACCCAGAAGCCCCUUCACUGUGUGGUUCCAGGGUAGAGUUUGCCACUGAGAGAAACAGACUUAGAAGGUGGGAAUGAAGCAAAGUCACCAUUCUCGGGACGCUGUGACAUUCAGUGUGACUUCACACAUCUUUCUCUCUGAGCUUCCACUUCCAGGUCACCUUUUGCAUUGAGACCUGGUAACUUCUCAGAAUUCCAGUGAGUUCUGGCUUCCUCACCCCUCCAAUACUUUGUGAAAGUGAAAGUCGCUUAGUCGUGUCUGACUCUUUGCAACUCCAUGGACUCCAGGCCAGAAUACUGGAGUGGGUAGCCUUUCCUUCUCC